rfam:Gossypium raimondii Chr04_contig_1412, whole genome shotgun sequence.
CGUUAAAAAUUCCGUCUAGUUCUUUUGUUAAAAGUUGGCGUGACUAAUAGAAUAACUAGACAAUUGCACAUAACGUGCCAUUGGCAUACAUGGACUAAUUUUCAACAGUAAAAAUGGAUGAAAUUUUUAACA